CUGGACAACAAAUGGUACAACUAUCUCUCUCAGGACUGGACAAUCACCCCAAUUUUUUUAGGAUCCCUAAAGAUGUCAUCACCCCCAGACAAUAGAAGCACCAAUCUACUUCAGAGAAGAUGAUGGGCAUCAAAGAAAUUCCAUAUGGAGAAUACUUUCUUUGUUGAAAAGUGUCCUGUCCCAUUGAACCAGGGCUGCAGACAGUUGUGAACCACCAUGUGGAAUUGAACCCAGGUCAUCUGGAAGAGCAGUCAGUGCUUUCAACCACUCAGCCAUCAACCCAGCCCGCUG